rnacentral:rRNA from 1 species
GCAAGUCGUACGCACUGGCCCAACUGAUUGAUGGUGCUUGCACCUGAUUGACGAUGGAUCACCAGUGAGUGGCGGACGGGUGAGUAACACGUAGGUAACCUGCCCCGGAGCGGGGGAUAACAUUUGGAAACAGAUGCUAAUACCGCAUAACAACAAAAGCCGCAUGGCUUUUGUUUGAAAGAUGGCUUUGGCUAUCACUCUGGGAUGGACCUGCGGUGCAUUAGCUAGUUGGUAAGGUAACGGCUUACCAAGGCGAUGAUGCAUAGCCGAGUUGAGAGACUGAUCGGCCACAAUGGAACUGAGACACGGUCCAUACUCCUACGGGAGGCAGCAGUAGGGAAUCUUCCACAAUGGGCGCAAGCCUGAUGGAGCAACACCGCGUGAGUGAAGAAGGGUUUCGGCUCGUAAAGCUCUGUUGUUGGAGAAGAACGUGCGUGAGAGUAACUGUUCACGCAGUGACGGUAUCCAACCAGAAAGUCACGGCUAACUACGUGCCAGCAGCCGCGGUAAUACGUAGGUGGCAAGCGUUAUCCGGAUUUAUUGGGCGUAAAGCGAGCGCAGGCGGUUGCUUAGGUCUGAUGUGAAAGCCUUCGGCUUAACCGAAGAAGUGCAUCGGAAACCGGGCGACUUGAGUGCAGAAGAGGACAGUGGAACUCCAUGUGUAGCGGUGGAAUGCGUAGAUAUAUGGAAGAACACCAGUGGCGAAGGCGGCUGUCUGGUCUGCAACUGACGCUGAGGCUCGAAAGCAUGGGUAGCGAACAGGAUUAGAUACCCUGGUAGUCCAUGCCGUAAACGAUGAGUGCUAGGUGUUGGAGGGUUUCCGCCCUUCAGUGCCGGAGCUAACGCAUUAAGCACUCCGCCUGGGGAGUACGACCGCAAGGUUGAAACUCAAAGGAAUUGACGGGGGCCCGCACAAGCGGUGGAGCAUGUGGUUUAAUUCGAAGCUACGCGAAGAACCUUACCAGGUCUUGACAUCUUGCGCUAACCUUAGAGAUAAGGCGUUCCCUUCGGGGACGCAAUGACAGGUGGUGCAUGGUCGUCGUCAGCUCGUGUCGUGAGAUGUUGGGUUAAGUCCCGCAACGAGCGCAACCCUUGUUACUAGUUGCCAGCAUUAAGUUGGGCACUCUAGUGAGACUGCCGGUGACAAACCGGAGGAAGGUGGGGACGACGUCAGAUCAUCAUGCCCCUUAUGACCUGGGCUACACACGUGCUACAAUGGACGGUACAACGAGUCGCAAGCUCGCGAGAGUAAGCUAAUCUCUUAAAGCCGUUCUCAGUUCGGACUGUAGGCUGCAACUCGCCUACACGAAGUCGGAAUCGCUAGUAAUCGCGGAUCAGCAUGCCGCGGUGAAUACGUUCCCGGGCCUUGUACACACCGCCCGUCACACCAUGGGAGUUUGUAACGCCCAAAG